rnacentral:rRNA from 1 species
GUGGAUUAGAUACCCUGGUAGUCCACGCCGUAAACGAUGUCUGCUAGCCGUUGGGAUCCUUGAGGUUUCGGUGGCGCAGCUAACGCGAUAAGCAGACCGCCUGGGGAGUACGGCCGCAAGGUUAAAACUCAAAUGAAUUGACGGGGGCCCGCACAAGCGGUGGAGCAUGUGGUUUAAUUCGAUGCAACGCGAAGAACCUUACCAGGUCUUGACAUCCAGAGAACUUUCCAGAGAUGGAUUGGUGCCUUCGGGAACUCUGAGACAGGUGCUGCACGGCCGUCGCCAACU